GAUGAACGCUGGCGGCGUGCUUAACACAUGCAAGUCGAACGGAAAGGCUCCUGCUUGCAGGGGUACUCGAGUGGCGAACGGGUGAGUAACACGUGGGUGAUCUGCCCUGCACUUCGGGAUAAGCCUGGGAAACUGGGGCUAAUACCGGAUAGGACGAUGGUUUGGAUGCCAUUGUGGAAAGUUUUUUCGGUGUGGGAUGGGCUCGCGGCCUAUCAGCUUGUUGGUGGGGUAAUGGCCUACCAAGGCGUCGACGGGUAGCCGGCCUGAGAGGGUGUACGGCCACAUUGGGACUGAGAUACGGCCCAGACUCCUACGGGAGGCAGCAGUGGGGAAUAUUGCACAAUGGGCGCAAGCCUGAUGCAGCGACGCCGCGUGGGGGAUGACGGCCUUCGGGUUGUAAACUCCUUUCGCUAGGGAAGAAGCGCAAGUGACGGUACCUGGAGAAGAAGCACCGGCUAACUACGUG
rnacentral:rRNA from 1 species